rnacentral:rRNA from 1 species
CCUACGGGUGGCAGCAGUGAGGAAUAUUGGUCAAUGGGCGUAAGCCUGAACCAGCCAAGUCGCGUGAGGGAUGAAGGUUCUAUGGAUCGUAAACCUCUUUUAUAAGGGAAUAAAGUGCGGGACGUGUCCCGUUUUGUAUGUACCUUAUGAAUAAGGAUCGGCUAACUCCGUGCCAGCAGCCGCGGUAAUCCGGAGGAUCCGAGCGUUAUCCGGAUUUAUUGGGUUUAAAGGGUGCGUGGGCUGCCUUUUAAGUCAGCGGUGAAAGGCUGUGGCUCAACCCUAGAAUUGCCGUUGAAACUGGCGGGCUUGAGUAUGUUUGAGGCAGGCGGAAUGCGGGGUGUAGCGGUGAAAUGCUUAGAUAGCACGCAGAACCCCGAUUGCGAAGGCAGCCUGCCAGGCCAUGACUGACGCUGAUGCACGAAAGCGUGGGGAUCGAACAGGAUUAGAUACCCCUGUAGUC